rnacentral:piRNA from 1 species
UAAAAUAUGUUUGCAAAUGGAUC